UGGGGAAUUUUGGACAAUGGGGGAAACCCUGAUCCAGCCAUCCCGCGUGUGCGAUGAAGGCCUUCGGGUUGUAAAGCACUUUUGGCAGGAAAGAAACGUCAUGGGUUAAUACCCCGUGAAACUGACGGUACCUGCAGAAUAAGCACCGGCUAACUACGUGCCAGCAGCCGCGGUAAUACGUAGGGUGCAAGCGUUAAUCGGAAUUACUGGGCGUAAAGCGUGCGCAGGCGGUUCGGAAAGAAAGAUGUGAAAUCCCAGAGCUCAACUUUGGAACUGCAUUUUUAACUACCGUGCUAUAGUGUGUCAGAGGGAGGUGGAAUUCCGCGUGUAGCAGUGAAAUGCGUAGAUAUGCGGAGGAACACCGAUGGCGAAGGCAGCCUCCUGGGAUAACACUGACGCUCAUGCACGAAAGCGUGGGCAGCAAACAUG
rnacentral:rRNA from 1 species